rnacentral:rRNA from 1 species
GACGAACGCUGGCGGCGUGCGUAACACAUGCAAGUCGAACGAGAGAGUGAGAGAAGCUUGCUUUUCUUAUGAUCGAGUGGCAAACGGGUGAGUAACGCGUAAACAACCUGCCCCGCAGAUGGGGACAACAGCUGGAAACGGCUGCUAAUACCGAAUACGCUCCUCUUAGCGCAUGGUAAGAGGAAGAAAGGGUGGCCUCUGGAACAAGCUACCGCUGUGGGAGGGGUUUGCGUCUGAUUAGCUGGUUGGAGGGGUAACGGCCCACCAAGGCGACGAUCAGUAGCCGGUCUGAGAGGAUGAACGGCCACAUUGGAACUGAGACACGGUCCAGACUCCUACGGGAGGCAGCAGUGAGGAAUCUUCCGCAAUGGGCGAAAGCCUGACGGAGCAACGCCGCGUGAGUGAAGACGGCCUUCGGGUUGUAAAGCUCUGUUAUAGGGGACGAACGGCCGGGUAGCGAAGAGGUAGCCGGCANGACG